rnacentral:lncRNA from 1 species
AAAGCUAGUCCAAGACAUACUGUACGCGCGUAACCGCGCGAAGUUGCUUUCUAAUGCUUCGCUUCGCAUCGCGUUCAGUAUGUCACGGCCUUUAUCAUCUCAUUGGACAAGAUUAUUCCAACGUUAAAAUUGUUUCUAGGAGUUAUAUCAAUUUUUAAUGAUGAUAAAAUAAUCUCAUUCGAUCCUUGGAUUGCGGCUCAAAUAUUAUAAUCUUGCUGAAAUACAAGGGGAAGACAAAAGUUCUUAUCCUCACCGUGUAUGUACGCUAUAGAUCUGUAAUUGUGAACAGUAAUAGAUUACUAUCUUACAAAUCGAGUGCCUUUUUUGUUUUGACUGGAGUUAGAAAUAUGAUAGCGGAAGAAUAUGUCACAUUGGACAAAACUGAGUAUCGAGCUGUGUGAUACGGUUCCUUUAUCUUCGAGGGAAAACUAUACAAAGUUGUGUAUGACAAGAACAUCCAUCAUAUGAGACUGUAUCAGGUAAAAUGAUGGAAACUGAAUUUCAAACGUUGUCACAUCAGCUUACAAGAUAACCUAAAAAAAGACAUCAAGGUCACGUCUGUGUUUUCGGAGAGCCAAAGUGUCAUGUUGAUGACUAACGGAUAUACGACAAGGGGCAAUAUGGCACUUUGGCCGAUUAAGGGGCAGGAAUUCGCUACACAAGUUACGAGAUAGUAUUAAAGAAAACACGGUUGGCUGCGAAAAGGUGUGUCGCUACUAGCCGACAAUGCACCGCACACCACCCGCAAAUAUGACUACGAAACCUGGUCCCAUCCCCGUAUUCUUCCGAGCCGGCACCUUCAGAUCUCUUCCCAUUUUAAAAUAUCAGAAAACAUUUACGGGGAAGUUUUUCAGCGCAAGAAGUCAUUAGACAAGAUUUGGUAGAUUUGGAAGAAGACCAGCUUUCCAUCGCCAAGCCAGUUUGACUCCAAAUCUGCCGACUUCUAUAAAGAUUGGAUUAAACGGCUGUUCCAUACGUGCGAGAAGUAUUUGGCCGUAGGAAAUGAAUAGGUAGAGAAAGAAGAGUGGAAGGACCAAAUUUCAGAUCCUAACAUAUCCGUGUCACGAUAAGAACUUUGGUUUAAUAUUAGUCCAUACUAUUUUAAACGCAGUUAGUUGAGCGGAGAAUUCAAAUUCACAAUUUAAUUUUGAUAGGAUAUGGAAAAACCAAAGCUUUUUCGUUCGACAACUCUCUCAAGCUUUUUUUACUUUAUAGAUUUAAUUAUUCUACUACAUAAUAAAGAAUUUCUGCCCAGCAACGAUUCAGUUCCGAAAAUCAUAAAGUCAACACAGGAGCGAGGUGGUGAAUCGUAUGGUGCUUUACGGAUCUGUUUGGGUGGCACGGCCGACCGACGAAAACGGUCUUUGGUCGUCGUUUUCGUGCCACCCAGAAUCUUAAAAUUGACCAUCAGCGGUUUAAUAUAAGAGAUGAUCUUAGAGUUAAUCGAUGACAGAGUAGAAAUAAUUUAUAAGAAUAGAGAGAAUUGACCAUAAUAUAGCAUCUGGUAUCGACGGCUCGAACUCGGAAUACCCAUAACUUUCCGAAAGCGUAAGAUUUUGUCGUUUAGUUACGGGUGGGAGCCGAGUAAAUUCCUUAAUAUCGCUAAAGUAGGAAGACUAACCGAUAAUUCUGUCUCGGUGGUGGUGGGUUUUAAAGACUGACUUCAAUGGCGAGGAUUUUUCUAGAGGAAAACUGACUAUAAAUCUUAUUUUAUGGUCAGGCGCUCCGCCAUCGACUUAGCGAACUGGCCAUUUUAUCCAUAGAACGCGGUGAAGCCAAAUAAAAUUUAACAUAAAAAAUAAUAUAUACUAAAUAAAUUUUAAUAAAAAUAUAAAUUUAAUAAACAUUGACACGGUUUUAUUUUUAAUAUAACAUUCCUUAUACUUAAUUUUAUUAAAUAAUCUUAAGUACGAGAGGCCUGGACCACACGGCCGAUAGGGAGCUGGUGGCUGCCGACCGAUGGUAAUAUACAACCUCAGUCAGACGAAACGGCCCUUUAAGGCCCGUCGCAACUAUGGAGCCACUGACGGUUGUAUCUGGCUCCGGUCAAAUAUUUCCGCAUUAUUGGUAACCAACCUGUCGACACUAUGGGUAACGGUCGAGUGUCCCGCGAUAUAAGCGGUCUGAUGGACAAGGACGGCCACGAUAGUUAACUCUCGAAAUUAAAAAUUUAAUAUGGUUUUGUACAGCGCGGCAGCCUGUAGGUAUAACCCGGAGACCGAUUUCAGACUGGUGAGCGAGCCAAUGGUCGACACGCUAUAAAUAUUACGGUUUGUUUUUAUUUUAUUUCGCUGUAGCCUAAUAUCCUGUUUACGCUACGCCGUUUAAACCAAUUCGAGCCAUAGAACUUAUUUAAUCUGGUAAUGGCGAACGGAACGUGGAUGGCCAAACUUUUUCGAAAAUGUCACCCAUUAGUGCGUACCGGUUUGAGCCGAACCGGCAAGGUCGAACUGAAACUCGUCGGACGAAACCGGAAACGCCGCCAUUAUUUUUUCUCUGGCUUUGGAAGUUAAAUCGCUCGAUGAGAACUUAUAAUUUAGCAUUUUGACGCG